GAGCGCGGGACUCUCGGGACUCUUGAUCUCGGGCUGACAAGUUUUCUCAGAUUGUUCUCCAGUAAAACAGUGGUGUCCUAUGAGCUGGUUCAAGGUGUUUUACAGGGAGGACUUGCCUUGGGCCAACCACCUUCAGCCCCCACACUGAAGAUCUCUGAGUCACGCUGUGAAUCAUCACAAGACUCAAGACAGGAUGUGCAAGUUCUUACUCCUGGCACAGUCAUCUCAAAAGGCUUGGUAUACCUCAAUAUGUGAAUAUCGACCAUAUUCAGCCUGAAGACGGUCUGGACAGCAGAUUUUUCCUCCACUCCUCCCCCCAUUCCUCAGGGAAGCACCUCAGAAAUGACUAACAUCAUGACAGGAAAGGUAGAUAACUGUUCUCACCUGCCUUAGUUUACAAAGAAGCACGUAGUAGUGGUUUCUUAUAAGUACUCAGGACUAACGGAGAAAAUCUAAUGACUGUACUCUGGUCAUAGAGUGAACUUUGUUGGAUGUGUAAUCAUGAGCACUGGAUUAGAGAUAAACCCACAUUUUAGUCGUUGAAAAGAACAACAUACUGGGAGCAUUGGUUAUAUAUUAGAAUAAGAGAAAGCAGAUAUAUUUGGAUAUGUUCAAAAAGACCAACAUGUCAUAUUAACACAAUUCAUAAAUAGAACUAAUGAAAUCCAAAGUCAAGAAUAACAUCAGAGGCAGCUCAAAGUUGUCAUGAGGCAAGAUGAGCUUACCAACAUUUAAACCAGGUUAUAUAAAAAAUAAAACCAUUGUUUUUUUUCCUCCC